rnacentral:rRNA from 1 species
GGUUAAGCGACUAAGCGUACACGGUGGAUGCCCUGGCAGUCAGAGGCGAUGAAGGACGUGCUAAUCUGCGAUAAGCGUCGGUGAGGUGAUAUGAACCGUUAUAACCGGCGAUUUCCGAAUGGGGAAACCCAGUGUGUUUCGACACACUAUCAUUAACU